GGCGAGGUAGCCAAGCGGUCUAAGGCGCUAGACUAAGGCUUGUCAUUUGACAUGUUGAAAUCUAGUUCUUCGGAGCGUGGGUUCGAAUCCCACCCUCGUCA
rfam:Rhizoctonia solani AG-1 IB, isolate 7/3/14, WGS project CAOJ01000000 data, contig: 05419